rnacentral:miRNA from 10 species
GCUAUUAGGCUGGUGCAAAAGUAAUCGCGGUUUUUGCCGUUACUUUUAAUUGUUUUACCUUUGCAGGAACCACAAUUACUUUUGCAGCAACCUAAUAC